CUUCAACGAAGUAGCCGUGCUCCGUCUUUCUCUGUCUUUCUAUUCCUUCGCCUUUCGGCUGUGUGAGCGAGAUCCUCCCCCAACCGCCAUCACUCCCAUCACGUACGUCAACGGUUGCACUUGCACGCACGCGCAAAGAGGCGUGCGGAGAAGCACACGCGUACACAGCAGCAGCAGCAGCAGCAGGGCGAAGGACUCAAAUCGAAAAGAAACCAGAAAAGUAAAAACAAAACGCUUUCCAUGCGCAACGCAGCGGCCGAGACGCUCUUGAGCACCGUCAGCACCACCGGCAUGGCGCUGACGGAGGACGGCUUUGCGGAGUACAUGGACGAGGCUGACCCGCUUCGUGAGCACCGCAGCUCGUACCACAUUCCCAUGAUGCGUGACGGCACCCAGUUCUCGUACUUUGCUGGGAACGCGCUGGGGCCGCAGCACGUCGGCGUGGAGGCCUCUAUGGCGGCCUUCCUCAAGAAGUGGCGCGAGCAGGCAGUUGAGGGGCACCUCAUGCAGCCCACGCCGUGGUUCGAGAUUGACCAGAUGUGUGUCAAGGACAUGGCAGCCAUCGUGGGUGCCAAGGACACGGAGGUGGCCAUCAUGAACACGCCCACGGUGAACCUGCAUCUUCUCCUGAGCACCUUCUACCACUCACAGGGCAGCAAGAAGAAGAUCAUGAUAGAUCCUCAUAGCUUUCCGAGCGACGGCUACUGCCUCCUCUCGCAGCUUGAGACACGCGGGCUGAACCCCGCCGAGGACCUUAUCAAGAUCACGGCGCCGGGCACCAAGGACUGGAACGGCCCCGUCACUGCGAUCCCGAUGGAGGCUUUCCUCUCGGCCAUAGACAAGCGCGGCGACGAGACGGCCGUAAUCAUCGUGUCAGCUGUACAGCACCUCACAGGACAGUGGCUCGAUAUCCCUGCCAUCGUAAAGGCCGCGCACGCCAAGAAGAUCCUCGUCGGCGUCGACUGCGCCCACGCCGUGGGCAACGUGCCGCUGCACCUCCAUGACUGGGACGUCGACUUUGCGUUCUGGUGCACGUGCAAGUACCUGAGCAGUGGGCCCGGCAGCAUCGGUGGUGUUUUCGUCCACAACAAGCACACAUCCGGCGCCAUCCCGCUCAAUCACCUGAGCAGGCGCUGGGGCAGCGAAAUCCAGAGUUGCUUCCCGAAGCACCACAGCCUCGAGCCGGCGACAGGCGCCUCGGAACUGCACAUCAGCACCCCAUCGGCUGCAUGCUAUAUGAUUCUGGCGCCGUCACUGAAGCUGAUGGCGUCGGUUGGCAUGGAGGCGAUCCGGCAGAAGUCGUUGCUGCUUACGGCCUACCUGGAGCUGCUUUUGAGUGAGCUCGUGCCUCCAGGCUGCAUCGAGAUUGUGACACCGGCGGACCCGAACCAGCGCGGCGCCCAGCUUUCGCUCCGCAUUCUUCCAAAUAAGCUCAAGUCCGGCCAGGCGGCCGCUCCGGGGUACCAGUGCGGCGCCGGCGGGGCUGACGAGAUGGAUGACGCCUCCCUGCUGCAACGUCAGCUGCUUGACGAGGGCGUCAUGAUUCACAGAUGCUCCCCAGACGUGGUGCCUGUGGCGCCGGCGCCCAUGUACAACAGCUUCGCGGACGUCCUGCGUGCUGUACGCAUCAUUGCCUCCCUCUUCUAGUCGAACGAGUGCAGCGCAAAAAAGGAUGCGAUGACGGGGUAAGGAGGGGCAGCACAAGGGUCCGUCAAUAGGGAUGCAUCCGUGCCAACUGCACGAGCGCAGACGUACACACACGCGAGCGGGGAGGAGGGGGGAGGGAAGAGCUGGGUCCUAGGGGGCCACUGCACCACAACUAUUUUCGCUGCUUUCCCUCUCUCGCUCAACUUACACACUCUCCCUCUGUGCGUAGCGCCCUUCUUAUCCCCACCCUGCCGCUUCCCUUUUCGUGUGUGUGUGUGUGUGUCGUCGUGUUGUGUUCUCUCACCUAUGCUCGGCAGCAAUCAGUCCCUCCUCCUUUCUCGUGCCUCUGGCAGCCGUACGUGACGCUCGUGUGCGGGUAUCAGUAUGGGUUCGGGCACUCGGUGUAGUCGUAUGUCUAUGUGCCUGUGUGUGUAUGGGUGCAUGUGUGCGGGUAUGAUGGGCAUGUAAUUCCCAAUGCCUUCCAUGUGCGGCAUCGCUUCCCUGUUCUCCCUCGCCAUGUGCUGAGCGCCGCUCACGAAGGUACGGCGGUGAUGUGCUCACAAGUGCCGCGUGUGCAGGUCUGUGCACGCGCGUCUCCCUUUCGCUAUCGCUCGUUCUCCGUUUUCUGCGCGUUGCUUCUCUGUGUGCGCAUGAAAGUGUACUCGCGUGCAUCGAUGUAGGAGUGGUCCCAGAGGUGCGAGCAAGGCGGCGCAAACCGAUGUACACCGCCUCCAUCCCGUCUGCUUCUCUUCCCCUUGGAGAGCGUGUGAGGGGGGGGGCGUAUUGGGCGUGCGUCGACGGUGCAGCUGCCUCUCACCGCAGAAGACCUCUGUUGCUGUCUUUCUCUUGCCUACCAGAUGCAACGUGCUUUGAAGAGCUGAGGCAGUGGCGGGC
rnacentral:misc_RNA from 1 species